rnacentral:rRNA from 1 species
UACGUAGGGACCAAGCGUUGUCCGGAAUCAUUGGGCGUAAAGAGCGUGUAGGCGGCUUGUUAAGUCUUGCGUGAAAUCUCGGGGCUCAACCCCGAGCGGUCGUGAGAAACUGGCAGGCUAGAGUGCGGGAGAGGAGAGUGGAAUUCCUGGUGUAGCGGUGAAAUGCGCAGAUAUCGGGAGGAACACCAAUUGCGAAGGCAGCUCGCUGGGACGUGACUGACGCUGAGACGCGAAAGCGUGGGGAGCAAACAGG